UACAGAGGGGGCAAGCGUUGUUCGGAAUUACUGGGCGUAAAGGGCGCGUAGGCGGCCUGCUAAGUCGAACGUGAAAUCCCUGGGCUCAACCCAGGAACUGCGUCCGAUACUGGAAGGCUUGAAUCCGGGAGAGGGAUGCGGAAUUCCAGGUGUAGCGGUGAAAUGCGUAGAUAUCUGGAGGAACACCGGUGGCGAAGGCGGCAUCCUGGACCGGCAUUGACGCUGAGGCGCGAAAGCCAGGGGAGCAAACGGG
rnacentral:rRNA from 1 species